UGCACGUCUGCGUAAUUGGUAGGAGUUUCCCGAUGACUGUCAGUCACGCUGUGAUCCGAACAGCUAAAGUACAUUCAUCAAAAGCAAAACAGGUCAAGUAUUUUGAAUGACUGAUUUGCCCAAAGCUGUACAGCAACAAGUAGGCUAGGCCUACAGGAGUACUGUCAGCAACAUGUACACACAAGAUAAAGACUAACAUUACAAAUUAUCUCAUGAAAAACACCUGCGGUCAAGAAACAUAAUGUCAAGCAGAAUUAAACUAAAAGUCAAAGAUGUAUGUGCGCAGAGUUGCGCUCCGUGGCUUACAUUUAGCUACUGAAACAAGCAGGUUCCAUGGUUUCACUGAAGAGGAAAUACUUUGUUAUGUGAUUUAGAGCCAGAGACCACUGAUAACCUCAAGGACCAAACCUUGUUUUAAGCUAAAAGGGCAAAGGUGAACACAGCCUAGUCUGUCAACUGGAUCCAAUAGGGAUAAGUUUGCAGUGCAUCCUCUCAAACUCUGCAGCAAUCUCCAGCACUGUACGAUUCUUGGUCUCAGGGAUGUAGAACUUCACAUACAGCCCACAGCCAGCACAGAAAACCAGGAAUAAGAGAAAACAAAAGUAUUCCAGUUUCUCCUGCAAAGGAAACAUUUUGGAGGACAUUUGUAAAUUGGUGGAAGAGCAUCCCCAGCACACACAUGCCCACCCAGUUGAGACUGCAGCCGAUGGUGUAUCCAGCUGAUCUGAAUGACUGCAUUAAAAUUUCCCCUGGAAGAGGAGCGGUUGCUCCAGCUGAGGGCCAAGAACAGAAGGAAGGACUGCAGUGGUGGAACUGUAACAAUAACUCAAGUACUGUAUUUAAUUAUACAUUUGAUGUACUUGUAUUUUAUUUGAGUAUUUCCAUUUUAUAUCACUUUAUACCACUACAUCUCAAAGACUACAGUGUACUUUUGACUUUGCUAAAUGUUCAUUCUCUUUGUCCAGUAAAAACCAUGUAUCUCCAAA